GCUCCAGUGGCGCAAUCGGGUAGCGCAUGGUACUGAUGAUACCGAGGUUGUGAGUUCGAGUCUCAUCUGGAGCA